UUACGGCAUCACAAUGCCAGCCCUUAUUUUAUUUGAAAGGCAGGGAGACAAGAAGAAGGAGAGGCGAGGCGAGGCGAGGCGAGGAGUGGGGGAGGAGGGGAGGGGGAGAGAGAGAGAUUCCAUUUACUGGUUCACUCCCCAAAUGCCCACAACAGCUAGAGCUGCAUCACGCCCAAGUCAGAACCCUGAACUGAAGCUGGGUUUCCCUGGACCAGGGACCCAAGUACUUGAGCCAUAAUCUGCUGCCUCCUGUGGUGCACAUUAUCAGGAAGUUGGAUCAGAAACAGAGUAUCUGGUACUCAAAUCAGAUAUUAUUUUGGAAGUAAGUUACACAUUGCAAAUGAAUAUAAGACAGCGUAUCAUCUCUUCUCAACACACCUAAGCCAGAGAACUGGCAGUUACGUCGAAAGAAGAAGAAAGUUAUUCAGGGUACAUGCCAGGAAAGGUCAAGUUGUUGCUGAACACUAGAGAGAUGUGGGUGACCUACUGCAGUAUUAUUUGCAUGAGAGUGUUUGCAGUGGUCCUUUCUUCCUUACAUGGACAACCCCAGAGAGAGUCUUGGGUCAUGUUUUGAUAACCUCCCAAAUACUCAGCUCAGCCAAAGUUGUUCAAGGAAAAACACAGGUGUGGAAGUGAUAGAGUCAGCCUGCUUAUUGGAAACCUAAGGACUAAACAACUAAGAAGCCAUCACAUUUCAGGCUGUAGUCCAGAUGAUGCCCCAGAGGAAAUGUGCAUUCUACCAAGGACCCUUUGAUUGACUGUCAGAAGAAUGACCUGCUGCUGUCUCUCAAUGAAUCCCCUUGCAGCCAGAGCAGUUUUCAUACCAAUAUCAUAACAACAUUCAUGUGGGGUGUGUGUGUGAUGACAUAAUAGAUGGACUAAUAGGCAGUUAGGUCAAGUCCCUGAAGCAGCCUUCAGCAAGACAAAAUACAAAUCUCCCCCUUCUGAGUUUCCAAUUUUAUCAUGAGACUAGAAAGACUAAAUUACCAAUGCACCCAUCUGAUGUUUUUUGUUUGUUUGUUUUAUCUUGAGCAGGAUAGACAGGAUUACAAUUCUGGCCCUCUGAUGGGUUUUGUCACUGCCUUCUUGAUUGAUUGAUAGCGGUUAUCCUGUUCCUCCCCUGAAUUGUGCUUAAAAGAUCCUACUUUGAAAAAUUUCUCAGUCUUCCUUGGAGCCCCACUCCUGACAUUGCAGCAGGAGGUUUCUGACUUUAAUAAAUCUUACUUUGCUUAAAAAAAGGAUAUAGGUAGAAAUAUAGAAUAAAUGCAAUAAGAUUUAAAAAUACAGGAAUUACCUUUGAAAUACAGGAGGGCUUACAGAGAACAGGAGUGUCUUUCCCUACUUAUUUAAUUUUCUAAUGGAAUCUACCAUUAAUUUGCUGUUAAAAUCUAAUUUAAAGACACAAAAAGUGGAAAGAUAGAAUAAACAGAACUGUAAUAGGCUGCAUAUGACCAGAAGUGUCACACGGGUAAAGAAAGGAUACUGGUGUUUAUGAUCAGUAAGUCCACUUGGGGGCUGGGAGUGUGCUGUUCGGUGGUAGGCCUUGAGGGGGGUGGCAGUGGAGCACACUGGGAACCACAAAGUCAGUUUGUACAGGAAAUCAUAGGUAAAUUCACUUUUUUCUUUAACUAUACAGUCUUUACACCUCAUGAUAUAGAAAGUAUGAGGUUCUCAAGGUCAUAUUAUGUCUAUAUUUUCAAUUCUACUUUCCAUCAUGCUUCUAAAAAUAAUAAGCUUCUUAUUCAAAAUGCAUCUAUGUAACUUCUCGGUUUAUUAACAGUACACGUCAUCAUAGUUUACUUUCUCUCUCUCUGCUAAUACAGGAUUACUCCUGGCAAGAACAUCAAGCAUGCUCUGCUUAUGCCACUUUGCUCUCCAAUGUUUUAUGUAUGAGUCUGAGGCCAAUUCUGAGAAUACAAUAUUCUGUCUACAUGCAUUAAAAGCAAAAGCUCUAGUUUACUGGGAAGCAUUCAUAUGUUCCAUUAUCUUAGGCUGUCAGGUGUGGGAUUUUCUAUUGACCUACUUUGAAAGUGAGUUUACUCAUUAAUAAAAAUUUGCUAGUGAUUUUGCAGUUUUCUUCAAAUAAGACAUGAAGCUAGAUGUUUCUAAUUGAACUUUAGUAUCUCAUAUGAAAUGCACUCAAGGAAGCCUCAGGCAAAUAGUAAGCUGUUGACAGUUCUUUUAGAAAAACUUCAUUUGAUUGUAGUAGUGUUUUUCUUUUUCUUACAUAUUAAAAAGAAGCAAACUGAAGUUUCUAAGCUUCAUGAAACGAUCACAGUGGGCUUUUUCCCCUUCCUUUCAACAUGUUAGACAAAAAUUGAGCGUCAAGCAUAAAAGGCUACUUUCAGCAAAGCUGCUCAUGUGCUAAUCUAAAAGAAGUUGAUCUCCCCUUGGAAGGGAUCCUAGAAAACCGAAUUGGAGGCAGAUUUCUUGGCCACUUUCACACAUGAGUUUCUUCUGAGUAGUGGCAGAAAUCAAUGGUUUCCUUAAAUAAAACACUCCAGGGACAGAAGAAAUCAGAGCCUGGCUCAGUUCCUAGAAUUUGUGUUUUUUUCUUGCGUGAUACUUCCCUAGUAAGUACUUUCAAAGUCAAAUUCCUUUUUGUACAUUUAUAAUAAAAAUAAGAACCUAAACUUGGAUAUAAACUUCUGAUACCUAAAUUAGUUCCAUUUGGGUGUUAUCAAAUCUUCAUUCUCUGGACUCUGGUCCAUGGUAGGCAAACUCAUGCCAAAUUGACAAGAUCAGCAGUAAGCCACUGGAUUGCUGAGCUUAUUAAAAUUAUUUCAUAUUUUAUUGAAUGUGUAUGCAUUUCUGCAUGAAUUCUUUGUAUGCUGUUAUGCCUUUUCCCCUUUUCCCUGGGCUUGCUUUUGUCUUAUAUUGAUUAAUUCAUUUAGUUACACAUCUAUCAUUCAUUAAUUCAGCAAAGCUUUGUAAAUAUUUAAUAUUUCUUCACCUACUACAGACAAGUACUAAAGAAUUUGAGUUUUAUUUCUGAAUCUUUAUAUUGAACUUACUUGAGACAUUCAAAGCAUAUUUUACUAAAGAUUUUUAAGCCCUACUCAGAUAUAUAGAUUUUUUUUUUCAAAAUCUCACUCAGUACAGAAUGGAUACUACUAGGUAGUAAGGAAAUAUAUUGAUGUUGAAAAUAACAUAAUGAUAAUAUUAGCUGACCUUUGUUGAGUGGUUAAUAAACAGAUUUUUCUAAUUUGUAGUGUUUUAAAUAUUUAAUACAUUCAGUAAAAAUUUGAAGUUAUGAGAUCCAAAUUGCACAGCAAUGCUAAUGACAAUUAUAGAAUCUGGUUCCUCAACUAAAGGACUGAUGUUUUCAGAACCGCAUUGAAUGCAACCACAAGAAUAGUGGCAUAGUACUGAAUGAACAGUUUUGCAAAUCUGUUUCUGGACACAUUCAUAUCAUAAUUAGACCUCUGACCCAUUACUAUGAAAAAGCUCUACACUUGCAUUAAAAACUUAAAAUGUUUGAUAGACAAAUGAUUUCUAAGUUUUAUUAAGAAUUUUGUACAUGUUAGCCACAUACAGUACAUUACAUGAUAUGAACAGUAACCCUAUGCAAUGGGUACUCUUACUACCUGCAUUGAAAAAAUAAAGAUGUGAAGGUCCUGACUUGGUAACAACUGCAGUGUCUCACAAUCAAUGACAAUGUUACCUGUUUCCAGAAACUUGCGUUA